rnacentral:rRNA from 1 species
AACGAACGCUGGCGGCAUGCCUAACACAUGCAAGUCGAACGAGACCUUCGGGUCUAGUGGCGCACGGGUGCGUAACGCGUGGGAACCUGCCCUUAGGUUCGGAAUAACUCCCCGAAAGGGGUGCUAAUACCGGAUAAUGUCUUCGGACCAAAGAUUUAUCGCCUUUGGAUGGGCCCGCGUUGGAUUAGCUAGUUGGUAGGGUAAAAGCCUACCAAGGCGACGAUCCAUAGCUGGUCUGAGAGGAUGAGCAGCCACACUGGGACUGAGACACGGCCCAGACUCCUACGGGAGGCAGCAGUGGGGAAUAUUGGACAAUGGGCGAAAGCCUGAUCCAGCAAUGCCGCGUGAGUGAUGAAGUCCUUAGGGUUGUAAAGCUCGUUUACCCGGGAUGAUAAUGACAGUACCGGGAGAAUAAGCUCCGGCUAACUCCGUG